AUUGAACGCUGGCGGGAUGCCUAACACAUGCAAGUCGAGCGGAGCGGCGGACGGGUGAGUAAUGCCUAGGAAUCUGCCUGGUAGUGGGGGAUAACGUCCGGAAAGGGUCGCUAAUACCGCAUACUAUCAGAUCAGCCUAGGUCGGAUUAGCUAGUUGGUGGGGUAAAGGCCUACCAAGGCGACGAUCCGUAACUGGUCUGAGAGGAGGAUCAGUCACACUGGGACUGAGACACGGCCCAGACUCCUACGGGAGGCAGCAGUGGGGAAUAUUGGACAAUGGGCGAAAGCCUGAUCCAGCCAUGCCGCGUGUGUGAAGAAGGCCUUCGGAUUGUAAAGCACUUUAAGCUGGGAGGCGUUACCUACAGAAUAAGCACCGGCUAACUUCGUGCCAGCAGCCGCGGUAAUAC
rnacentral:rRNA from 1 species